AGAAGGCACGGCGGCGAGGCGUUACGAGUAUGGCUGGGCUGCUACGCCUUGAGCCCUUGUCUCUAGUCUUGCUCUUACCCAGAGCAGGAAGUCAGUCUCUAACGUCUCUUCGGAAGUCGCAUCUGAGGGGACCUAGGGCGUGCUCGAGUCCUGGGCUGAAGGAUUUGGAUAAGCUGCGGGAUCCUCAGGGCUCCCUCUGCAGCCCCGAACUCGUGCAGUGUGGGAUGAUCGCAAUGCCUGGGUGCAGCCAGCGCUUCUUUCUAGAUCGUUAAUCCUAGGCUUCGGAGCCCCGCCCCGGUCUGUUCUGUCUGCGCGCCUUUUGUACACAGGGCGGAGCGCAGAACCGCUGGCCCCCGUCGGAGAAGAGUUGGGAACGAGGAAAGAAGCUUCGAGAAGAUGAGGGGGAAAGGGACUACCCCGGGAGUUGGUCUUUUAUGGAUGACCUAGUCCGGUUUACCUCAGAGCGUUCGAAGAAUGGGUGAAUAUAACAAUUUAUUGUAAAUGCAACAAAAAACAACAAAGACAUGGACCCAAGAAACUCAGAUCUACAAGACCCUGUUGAAAAGUGAAGCGUGAGAGAUUUGAAACAGUACUGAAAUACUGAUCCAGUUUUCUUUUUGUUGUGUUUGAGACCGGGUCCCUCAAUGUAGUUCUGGUUGUUCAGGAACUCGCCUUGUAGACCAGGCUUGCUUCAAACACACGUUAAGUCUUUCUGCCUCUGUCUCUUUAAAAAAAUGCUGAUGAUGAAAGGCUUGAGCCAUCACGCCCAGCUGCGUUCUUUUAACCCAUUACUAGUUGAAUUACGUUUUCCAAAACAUUGGGAACUUGAACCAAAUUUGUAUUUAUUUCCUGGCAAAGUUGUAUUUGAUUAAUUAACCAGAUACACACUUUUAGCCCAGAUACGUGAUCCGUACAUCAAGCUUGGCUUCAAUUCGCAAUCCCUAAGCAAGAAUACUUCAUUUCACUCUAACACAUUUGUCCGAAUACAAAUUUAGGGUUCUGUAGUCCUUCUCAUUUCCACGAGUCACUCCAACACAUCUCACCACAGAAAUGUAUCAAAUACUUCAUUGUUUCCACGGGUACCCCAAUCCUAUCCAUCAUUUCUCAGGCAGCUUAAGUGGUGUCCCAUUAUGUAUACAAUCCAUUGUCUGCCUGGGGGCUAGUGGUUUCUUUGUAAAUUCCUCUAAAUUGUGUGUGUUUUAAAGAUUUAUUUAUUUAUUUAUUUAUUAUAUAUAAGUACACUGUAGCUAUCUUCAGACACUCCAGAAGAGGGCAUCAGAACCCAUUAUAGAUGGUUGUGAGCCACCAUGUGGUUGCUGGGAAUUGAACUCAGGACCUCUGGAAGAUCUAUAUUGUUUUGAAAAAGACUUUUAAUGUGUGAAUAUAGGGUAAAAGGAUAACCUUGUGGAGGUUUUCACCUUUUUACCUGGCUUUUAAUAUCAAACUAGAGUUGUCAGUGCACAGCAAGCACUUUUGGCUACUGAGCCAUUUCAGGGGCUCUCUUUUUAUAUUUUCUCUAUGUAUUUGAAAUAAAACCCAGAUGAAAUAAAACCCAAGUCCCUGGCCUCAUGUCCUUCCACUUUGCCCUUACUUCUACUCAUUCCAAGCACAUUUUUUUUUUUCUUUUUGGUUUUUUGAGACAGGGUUUCUCUGGGUAACCCUGGCUGACCUGGAUCUCACCUUGUAGACCAGGCUGGCCUCAAACUCAGAAAUUCACCUGCCUCUGCCUCCCAAGUGCUGGGAUUAAAGGCACCAAGCACAUUUCUAAUGUUACAUAGUAACAUGUCUACCUGGAAAAAAAUUAAUAUACUUUUAAAGAUGUGUGUCAUGUGUGUCUUGGCAUCACAGUACCUGCAGUGCCCAUGGAGGCCAGUAGAGGGCAUCAGAUAGGUUUGGAACUGGAGUUGAUAGAAAAUUCUUAGUUGCUAUGUGGAUGUAGCAACAUGGAUGAAACUGAACCCAAGCCCUCUGCAAGACCAGUAAGUGCUCUUAACCCCUUAGCCUUCUUUCUAGCCACUCCCCCCCUUAUAAAUUACUUGUAUAGCUGUGCAAGCUGAGUGCAGUGCCCAGAGGCCAGAAGACGAUAUUGGGUAAGAACUAGAGUAAUAAGCACUUGUACUUUGUACUGGGAACCAAACUCUAGUCUUCUACAACAGAUAGCCAUUGUAGCACUAAGUCAUCUCUCUAGCCCACUACCUGCAAUAGUUUGAACUCUAGUACUGGCAAGCAGCUUGGCACUCAGGCAAAACUCAGUUAUUUCAAAGGAUAAGCUUACAUAAGCCAUCUCUCUCUCUCUCUCUCUGAAGGUUUAGGGAGCCAGAGGAUAGCGGACAGCAUGAGGACUUGGCUUCUUAUUUAAUGUAUGAAUGCUCUGCUGCAUAUAUAUCUGCCUGCUGGAAGAAGGCAUCAGAUCCUCUAGUAGAUGGUUGUGAGCCACCAUGUGGUAGCUGGGAAUUGAAUUCAAGACCUCCUGAAGAGCAGCCAGUGCCCUUAGCCGCUUAGCCAUUUCAACAGCCCCUUAAUUGUCCUUUCAAGGUCUUUAUACUGUUUUUUCAAAUUAUUAGAAUGGUUAGAGAGCCAGUCUUGUGCUCAUAAUCCAGAACAAAAGUAUGGUGUUAACUUGCACUUCUCAGCUCUGAACUAGAAUGGCUAAGUGAAUGUUCACAGACCAAGAACCAUACCUGCAGAAUUGACCUCUCAGGAAGCGAUAGGCUGUAGCACAUUAUCUAGACCUUCAAAAAGUCACAUCCAAAUUUAGGAUAAGUUUUACAAACUCUUGGGUAAGAUGCAAUAAUUAUAUUAUUAAAGUUUGAAACCAAAAUACUGAAUCAAGAAGGAAGGAAAUGACAGCUGAGUUCCUUUAUUUCAGAAAUAUUUUAAUUGUAGUAUAGUUAUGAAGUCACAUUCAAUUCAAUGAAUAUAUUCCAAGUAUUAAUAAAAAUAUUAUACAUCUUAACUCACUAUGCUGAUAUAAUUAAAGCAUUUUGUUCUUACAGGUGACACUAGUAAUUACAUCUAUAUUUGCAUUGCUAGUGAACAGCAUGUAAGUAAAUGUGUAUCAUAAUAGCAGGUCUUCAGUGUUUUUUUUUUUUUUUAAAUCUGAGUUAUCAAAAGUGAAUUUUUUUAAAUGUUACAAUUCAUGAGUCUUAGAAAGAAUUAAACAAUUUAAGGCAAGAUUUUGAACUUUAUAUACAACUUUAAUUUGAAAAAAAAAGUACGUAAAAAAGAUACACAUGCUUUAACAACUCAUUCACAUAAACACAGUAAUAAAAAGCAUUGGUGCCAAUCUCAUUGGAUUCCUCAGAGAACACAGGUUCUUGGGAUGAACUAUCAUCUUCAGAUCCUAGAGCACUGGCAAGAACAAACAAUUCUGGCACAGGACUUGUACGUAGCAGAAUGAUUUUUACUUGAAGGUAGUUAUAAAUAUGAUAUACAUAAACAUUAGUGUCUUGGCUUGUUUAGCGUUCUUGUUUUUCGAGUUAUUUAAGGUGACUGUUAGGAAGCUUUAGAAGCCAGCUGACUCAGCGACUGCAGCUGUAGUGCACGGAGGCUGCAUUCUCCUCCCUAUCACUGGUUUUUGGUAUGGGCUGAAGAUUAGCAUUUUAUAAAGAAAUAACUUACAUUAAAAUAUAUGUAUUCUAAUGACCAAAGAAGGCACAAAUUGAGUUAAAUUAAGAGACAGUAUCACCUUUUGAAUAUUUGUUAACUAUACAGUAUUACUUAUAAUAUAUACCUUUAGAUAUUAAUCAGAUUUCUUGUCACUGAAGUGACAUUACAUUUUUAAUUCUGUUUCUGCUAAGAUACACGGUAACAGAUCACAAAAAGGUCCACGAGUCCAGUCAAUGACGACCUUUUUUUACAAACAGCAUUUUUUAAAGAAGCUAGGUGACCCAUGGAAUGGAAUUAGGUUUCUC
rnacentral:lncRNA from 1 species